UAUCCCUUCCAUUUGGGAUAAUCCUACUAUGAUAUGCGUCAAUGGUAACGUUGGGGUGUAAAGCUCAUAGGACAAUGUGGAGAAAUUCGGAAGUCUAAUCUGAAUCAUCUG
rfam:Methanococcoides burtonii DSM 6242, complete genome.